GAUGAACGCUGGCGGCGUGCCUAACACAUGCAAGUCGAACGGAAAGACGCGGUUGUUGGUACUCUGGCGGUAGAGGGGGGCGGGAGAGUAGCAUAAGGUUAACUUACCUAUGAGAUUGGGUUAACUUAGGGGAACCGGAGCCAAUUACGGAUAACUUCUUCAAGGUGAUGGUUGGACAGCGUAAGACGGUUUGGCUGUCACUGAGACGUAGAUGCGUGUCGGAUUAGCUAGUUGGUAGGGUAACGGCUUACCAAGGCGACGAUGCGUAGCCGACCUGAGAGGGUGAUCAGCCACACUGGAACUGAGACACGGUACAGAGUCCGACGGGAGGCAGCGGUAGGGAAUGUUGGGCAAUGGGCGGAAUCCUGACCGAGGAACGCCGCGUGGGUGAAGAAGGGCUGCGGGUGGUAAAACUCUGUUGUUGGGGAAGAACAAUUUCAGAAGGAGCUAUGCACGUGUUGACGGUACCUAAAGAAGAAGCACCGGCUAACUACGUG
rnacentral:rRNA from 1 species